UUUCCCACAGGCAUUCCAGUCACUGUACCAUUCCCCCCAUUCCCUUUCACCCGGGGAGACAACGCCGGCAGAGGCGACAGCGUGGCCUACAGGAUGAGGGCAAAGGCCGCACUGGUGAAGUCUAUCAAACUCCGCAAAGAUGCAAAAAAGGUCAUGUAUGAUGCCACUGUGGAAGAUGAGAGCGAUCUGGAUGCAGACAGCCAGUGAGCAGGGUUCUCCCGGGAGGAUUCUGCUUCCCGCCGCUCCCUGGAGAAGCAUGCCAUCAGCGUGGAAUGGUCUGACAAGAGCCACGGGCAGGACAGCAGCGAGCUGGACAGCAAUCAGCCUGACCGGAGCAUGGAAAAUGACAGCAGGCAGAAAUUCGACAGGCAUGAGGCACACACAGCUGCACAGGUUUUCCAGUGAUGUAUCCUGAAGCAGCAUCGUCAUUGAGGAAACCUGCUGAACUCAGCCUUUGGGUAUUAAACCCCUUGAGGAAGCCUUCUUACCUCUUCCAGAGCUGUGAUCUCCUCCUGCCCAAUUUCACUAUCGUGCUACUGCUUCAGGCCAACGAAGUUGCAAAGAACUGCUACAA